rnacentral:rRNA from 1 species
UACAGAGGUGGCAAGCGUUGUUCGGAAUUACUGGGCGUAAAGGGCGCGUAGGCGGCCUUCUAAGUCGGACGUGAAAUCCCCAGGCUUAACUUGGGAACUGCGUCUGAUACUGGAAGGCUUGAGUGCGGGAGAGGGAUGUGGAAUUCCAGGUGUAGCGGUGAAAUGCGUAGAUAUCUGGAGGAACACCGGUGGCGAAGGCGGCAUCCUGGACCGGCAUUGACGCUGAGGAGCGAAAGCCAGGGGAGCAAACGGG